rnacentral:rRNA from 1 species
CCUACGGGUGGCAGCAGUGAGGAAUAUUGGUCAAUGGGCUUACGCCUGAACCAGCCAAGUCGCGUGAGGGAAGACUGCCCUAUGGGUUGUAAACCUCUUUUGCCAGGGAGCAAUGGGCGCUACGUGUAGCGCUAUCGAGAGUACCUGAAGAAAAAGCAUCGGCUAACUCCGUGCCAGCAGCCGCGGUAAUACGGAGGAUGCGAGCGUUAUCCGGAUUUAUUGGGUUAAAAGGGUGCGUAGGCGGAUGGCCAAGUCAGCGGUAAAAUCGCGGGGCUCAACCUCGCUCCGCCUUUGAAACUGGCGAUCUUGAGUGGGCGAGAAGUAAGCGGAAUGCGUGGUGUAGCGGUGAAAUGCAUAGAUAUCACGCAGAACUCCGAUUGCGAAGGCAGCAUGCCGGCGCCCAACUGACGCUGAAGCACGAAAGCGUGGGUAUCGAACAGGAUUAGAUACCCGGGUAGUC